UACGAAGGGGGCUAGCGUUGCUCGGAAUCACUGGGCGUAAAGGGUGCGUAGGCGGGUCUUAAGUCGGGGGUGAAAUCCUGGAGCUCAACUCCAGAACUGCCUUUGAUACUGAGGAUCUUGAGUUCGGGAGAGGUGAGUGGAACUGCGAGUGUAGAGGUGAAAUUCGUAGAUAUUCGCAAGAACACCAGUGGCGAAGGCGGCUCACUGGCCCGAUACUGACGCUGAGGCACGAAAGCGUGGGGAGCAAACAGGG
rnacentral:rRNA from 1 species